rnacentral:rRNA from 1 species
UACAGAGGUCCCGAGCGUUGUUCGGACUCACUGGGCGUAAAGGGUGCGUAGGUGGUUAGGUAAGUCCGAUGUGAAAUCUCCAGGCUCAACCUGGAAAUGGCAUUGGAUACUAUUUAGCUUGAGGAGUGGAGGGGGGACUGGAAUUCCUGGUGUAGCGGUGAAAUGCGUAGAUAUCUGGAGGAACACCGGUGGCGAAGGCGGCAUCCUGGACCGAUACUGACGCUGAGGAGCGAAAGCCAGGGGAGCAAACGGG